AAAGCACUUUCAGUCGUGAGGAAGGUAGUGUAGUUAAUAGCUGCAUUAUUUGACGUUUAGCGACAGAAGAAGCACCGGCUAACUCCGUGCCAGCAGCCGCGGUAAUACGGAGGGUGCGAGCGUUAAUCGGAAUUACUGGGCGUAAAGCGCAUGCAGGUGGUUUGUUAAGUCAGAUGUGAAAGCCCGGGGCUCAACCUCGGAAUUGCAUUUGAAACUGGCAGACUAGAGUACUGUAGAGGGGGUAGAAUUUCAGGUGUAGCGGUGAAAAUGCGUAGAGAUCUGAAGGAAUACCGGUGGCGAAGGCGGCCCCCUGGACAGAUACUGACACUCAGAUGCGAAAGCGUGGGGAGCAAACAGGAUUAGAUACCCUGGUAG
rnacentral:rRNA from 1 species